rnacentral:misc_RNA from 1 species
GGAAAAAUUAUGUCUUUAGAAGUAGUAGAUACAUGAGAAAAUGUUUAAAUGAGUGAAAAGAAUCUUAUUUGAAAGUAUGUGACAAUUUAAAACAUGACAUGCAUUUGGAGUGACAAUGCCCAAAUCUUCAUGUAGUGUUUGAAUAGUAGAUAAAUGCUUCUUUUCAACCUUUUUUUCAAUCAAUGUAACUCUUUCCUCGAAUAUUGCAUCACGUCGAGCCAACUCUUGUUUAACAUUUUUUAGGUCAUUGCUUAGGAUAUCUAAAGUAGACCUAUAAUUUCUUUCCACUUCGAGUCGGGCAUGCUUGAUUCUUACUUCAAUUUCCUCUUCUCGAUCUAUGAUUUCUCGCGCUGAUCGUUCGGGUAUUACAUUGAGAGGGGCUUGAUCAAAGAACCAAUGAAGGUAUAAGGGGUCAACUUCUCCUUCAACGUGAUCAUCAACCAUAGCUUUCGAACUUAAAGUUCGACUACCACCCCAAAUCUUUUGGGCAUCUAAUUCUCGAUCUCAAUCUUCAAAUACUACCUCCCACACAAAAUUUUGUAUAUCCUUGGCUUAAGUAAAAUUUAUUUUUUGUCCUAGUUGGCAUAGAACUCGGAGGGGUAUGUAUGUUUGGAACCCAAGAAGGCCUGUCAGAACGAAGAAUGGACGAUAGAAAGACAUAACAAUUACCUCACUAGCAGGGAACUAAUUAUAGUUCCAUGUAAAUUUAGAUGCCGUCAAUUUAAGAAGAUAAUGUCUCCAUGCUUUGACACCUUUUGGAAAUUUGUCUCCUAAUUCUUUCAUCCUGUCUGGGUGGCUUAAAAUAUAAUUCGUCCAAUCGGAUUUGAAAUCUGUCGCAAAACGGUGGCGAUAUAGGUGCUCCAAAAACCACAUUUGCAAUAAAAUGCUACAACCUUCAAUAAAAUCUCUCCCCUCUUUACAUUUAGUCAAGGCACGAUAAAUAUCAGUCAACAUCAUCAGCAAUAUAGUGGAUUUUCUUUUAUUCAUUAUAACAGUUACUAUUCCUGAUAGACGAAUAUUGAUUUUUUUAUCCUUCCUUGAAAAAAUCAUAGAUCCCAAGAAUGCCACCAUGAAUGCUUCUUGUCUAUGUUUUUCCCAAGUAGGGAGGUGUUGUCCAUUUUAAAGUUGUUUCCCAUGGCUUGAAAAUCCUUCCUUCUUUUAUAUCUUGAGUACAAGAAUUUCAAAGAAACCAACCAAUUAUCAAAACACUCCUCAUGAAGAUGUAUGAUGUCCAUCUGUUCUAGAAGUUUACCUCUGCUGACACUCCUAGGGGCUAUCAGUGUUUUAAUUCGAAGAUCCUGGCCUAAACCUGUGAAACCACCCAAUUCUUCUAAUGAAGGCGUCAACUCAAAAUCACUAAAUCGAAACACAUUAUUUGUGGAAUCCCAAAACGGGAUCAAAGCCUCGAUCAAAUCUCUGUCAGGACUAAAUCUCAUAAUAUCUGAAAGAAAAUCAAGAUGUUUGAAUAUCUCAGUCCGCCUAAAUUCAUGCAUAUCUUUCCACCAAUCCAUUAGUAAUUGUGGGGUUUUAUCUGUGAUUAUGAACUUUGGGGGAUCAUUGACCAUUUUGACUAGUUUAUCCCUUGGUCUUUUAUCACACCUCAUAGAUAUCAUGAUUACUUGGACAGAUCUGUUGAUAUCCAUCUUCGGACUCAAACUUCCGGAGAGAGGAGGAAUGUAGACUCAAGGGUCUCACUGGUUGGUUUUUAUUGUUGCUGCUAGCCAGAGCAAUUUUUAUUGCUGGAGAAAGAGGGGAUGGACGCACCGACAACUGGCUGUCCGUAGUACGCUGCUGCCUGGUGGAGAUCGCUCGAGCUGCUGACGUCCGGCUGUUGCUGUCUCGUCGAGCUUUCCGCCGGUGACCUCGCCUAGAGAAGAGAACAUAAAAGAAGGAAAAACAGAGGGAGGAAAGAGGAGAAGGUGAGCGACCGAAGAGGAAAGGAGGAGGAGAGGACAAGUCAUGCCGCCUAGCUCAUCUCGCUGGAGCUGCUGCUUCGUCGAUCUCACUAGAGAAUUUGAGAGUGGAGGGGUGGCG